GAGUCAAGAUCAAAACACUACCAGAAAAUGCUUUUUUACUAUAUAUAGUCCCUCAUAAAUCAGUGACCAUUUACUUCGAAGGUCACUUUGGUUUGGCAUUAUCUUCUUUAAAACAAGAUCUCCAGGCUGGAAUUCUCAGGGUCAUACAUUCUUAUCAAAUGUCCUAGCCAUUCUGAGGGUAUAAUUGCCCAUGGAAAAUUGCGGCCAACCUUUUCUCAUCAGGCAAAUUAAGUUGGUCAAGUCUUGUAUUGACGCAUUCUA
rnacentral:misc_RNA from 1 species